UGGGGACGUAGCUCAGUGGUAGAGCGCUUGCCUAUCAUGCGUGAGGACCUGGGUUCAAUCCCCAGCAUCAAAA